rnacentral:rRNA from 1 species
AGAACGAACGCUGGCGGCAGGCCUCAAACAUGCAAGUCUAGGGGGUGUAGCAAUACAUCACCGGCGGACGGGUGCGUAACACGUGGGAAUGUACUUACUGGUACGGAACAACUCAGGGAAACUUGAGCUAAUACCGCAUAAGCCCGAAAGGGGAAAGAUUUAUCGCCAGUAAAUCAGCCCGCGUCCGAUUAGCUAGUUGGUGGGGUAAAGGCUCACCAAGGCUCCGAUCGGUAGCUGUUCUGAGAGGAAGAUCAGCCACACUGGGACUGAGACACGGCCCAGACUCCUACGGGAGGCAGCAGUUGGGAAUCUUGGACAAUGGGGGAAACCCUGAUCCAGCCAUGCCGCGUGAGUGAUGAAGGCCUUAGGGUUGUAAACUCUUUCGACGGGGACAUAACGACGGUACCCGUAGAAGAGCUCCGGCUAACGUUCGUGCCAGCAGCCGC